CGGGGGGGGCAAGCGUUGUUCGGAAUUACUGGGCGUAAAGGGCGCGUAGGCUGCUCGCUAAGUCGGGUGUGAAAACUCUGGGCUCAACCCAGAGCCUGCAUUCGAAACUGACGAGCUAGAGUUCUGGAGGGGAAAGCGGAAUUCCUGGUGUAGCGGUGAAAUGCGUAGAUAUCAGGAGGAACACCGGUGGCGAAGGCGGCUUUCUGGACAGAAACUGACGCUGAGGCGCGAAAGCUAGGGGAGCAAACAGGAUUAGAUACCCUGGUAGUCCUAGCCCUAAACGAUGGAUACUUGCUGUGAGGGGGAUUGAAUCCCUUCGUGGCGAAGCUAACGCAUUAAGUAUCCCGCCUGGGGAGUACGGCCGCAAGGCUG
rnacentral:rRNA from 1 species